CUGCUGGAUGCCAUGUAGCAUCCCAAGGACCUGUGGACAGAGAUUCUGGCUUAUCAAGAGAAGCUUGACAUUUGGGUUUUUGUAAAUGUUUUUUGCAUUUUCAUGAAAACAAAAGCACAAUUGCAGCACCAUCACUUAGAAGGAAUAAAAGUUAUUCUGAAGCUGAAGAAGUGAGAGGAAUCUUAGAGAAAGACACAGCUGCAGAUCCAGCCCCUUUAGGAUAGCCUCAUAAAAUGAGCACUUCACAGUUUAGAAAGGCAUUCAGGCCAAUGACCCCGGUCACUCGCUUUUUUUUUUAUUGUAAAUAUACAUAACAGAAUUUCCCUUUUUGAUCACUGUUAAGGGUAUAGUUCGGAGCAUGAAGUGCUUCCACACUGUUGUGCCAAACUGACAACUCUGUGUUGUGAUUGGCCCUUGCAGUUUUAAAAAAUUACAAGUAGUCACCAACACAAAAUAAAUCUGAGCUGGAGAUCAGGGAGGGCAGUCCUUGGAGGGACUGAUGGCCCUUGGUUCAGAACGUCACCUGUCACCUGUCAGCCAGCUCAGUUUGGGCUGCUCUGUAGCAAGCAGUCGAACUCAGAAGUUAAUUCAUUACACGUUGCAGAUGGAAACUGGACAAUCUGAGCUGAACCAUAAGGGAACUUUAAAAUGGGAAAUGAGACUUUCAGUCCCAGAUUGCUCUCCUUUCCCACAACUUCUAAAAAUGCAAGAUGUGAGGGCGCUGGACAGGAAGAUAACAGAGCAGAUUGUUACUUUUUAAAUCUCACCUUCUUGGAAUAAAGAGUAAAUCAAGCAGUUAUCAGCCCAUUAUACGUAUUUGUGAGUACCCUUUACAUGCAAAGUAUCUCUGUUAAGAGUGUUUCUAUCACAUUGAGAAGAUACAUAAAAAUAGAUGGCUAACUAUAGAUGGGGAAACUACAGACGACACUGCAUAAAUUCUAAAGGGGCCAAGUUCUGUAGAUUUUCAGAGAGGUAGAAAUCACUGUGAGCUGAGAUGGUUGAGGUCAAAGUUUGAAUGAGGUCUUGAAAGAUGUUCAGUAUUCAGAUAGGGAGAAGACAUAAGGAGGGCAUUCCAGGCGGAAGGAGGCGCAUAAGCACUGGCACAGAGGUGGUUAAAUGUUGGGUGUCCUCGGGACACUGGUGAACAGCCAGUCUGGCUAGAGCCGUACACCCAAGGCACAUCAGAACGACCAGCUCUCCCCUUCCUCCCGGGUCUAUACACCGGGGCGCAGCGCCCGCCCCUAGAUGGGCGGAGCUCACUUCCUCGCCCCUUGUGUUGGGCUUGGGCACGUGACUGGCUCCGGACAGCGGAACGGGUGGCAGGGAUAGCACCCCAACGCUGAGCAGAGGCCAGAGGAGUGGUGGCACUGUGCAUCCAUCCAUCCUCCAGCACCCUUGCCUUUCCCCCUGGGGAGAAUGUGUCACAGGUCACUGCUAGUCCGGCACUAAGAGACACGUGGAGCUACCGAAUCUCCUCACAUCCUGGAGCCAAGGACAGCUGACCUGCAGCCCAGGUGAGGGGAAAUGUCAUGGCUGUCAGCCACUGGAGUCUGAGGUCGUUUCUGUGCAUCGAACACUAACGCAUGUCCACACCCACACUGGCUCCUGAGAGGCUCCCAGGGCUCUGAAGUCAAAGUCGGGCUUGCCUUUGCAGCAGUCGCCCAGACUGGAGAUCACAGAUGUGAUUACCCUGUGCCUUUCCUUCACCAGCCUGGUCCUGGACGCUGGAGUUGAGUCCCAUUUCAUGCAACCCAAGAGUUCUGAGAUACAGUCAGAAUCAAACUGUACAUCAGCAGUGACUUCACUCCUGGCACCUGCUCUGUGAGAUGGGGAUGCAUCAGAGAGGAAAACACAAACAUUCUGGAGGAGGUUCCAUGGGGAUAAGGAGGGGAUGCAGGCCAUAAAUAAGGGGAACUAGUGAGGUGGCUGGCAUGUUGGACAAUAAGCACUGAGGAGAUGAAGAAAGUUGGGGGAGGAAGGAGAACUGGGUACAUGUGUGCAGUGUCAGGGAAGGCCUCACUGAGAGAUGACAGGAUAGGCAAAGCAAGUGUAAAGGGCCUGGGGCAGGGUACACCCAAGCAUUGGAGGAGCAGUGGUGAGACCAGCCAGCUAGAAUGGGGUGAGCACUGGGAGCCAGCAGGUGGUUUGUGAGGACUUGGGCUUUUCCGGGUGAGGUGGGACACCAUGGGAGGCUUGGAAGCAGAAGAGGGACAAAGGAGAGGUUGGGGCCCGGAGAGCAGAGGCUGGACUUAGAAACAUGGUGGUUCAUCCACAGAAGCAGGAAAGACUAUAUAGACUAUAUGCCACAGGUCCAGGCAGGCAGGUAGUGUGUUGGGAGCUGAUCGCUUCUGUUUUCCCAGUGCAAUGGGCAGUGACAUCAUGAGCUGAGGGAAUGUGGGAGAGGUAAGAAGUACUGGAAAUUUUAACAGAGGAGACAUGGUAGAAAGUUUUCUAGGUUAGUGGGAGAGUGCAUGGGCUGUUUGGGAAGCUGGGGCAGUACUGAUGGUCCAGGCUGAGGAGGAGAGCCAGAUUUAACAGGGGCUUAACAAAGUGAGUGCCAUGCGGGGGAAGGGCGAGGCAGCCAAGGACUUGGGAUUCCAAUGACUGACCUAGGAAGUUAAUCACAUGUAGAGAGCAGGGACAGUAAUGGUAAAAAAAAGUUCAUGCACGUCUGGAAUGAACAGAAUGAGACUUUGUGGAAAGACUCUCCUAGAUGAACCCAGGAGUCUGGAUCAGGGAGAGUCAAGGACUAUUUAUUGAACAUCAAUCAGCAUGUACUGAACACCUUCAUUCAAGGAACUACGAGAGGUGCAGGAGCCUGUCUAAAGUCUAAAGCCUGUGAAAAAAACAGCUCACCCAGCUGCACGUACAAAGUUCCUAGUGAGCCCCAGACAAGGGCUCUGCUCAGGAGUUGAAGUAAGACCUUUCCCUGGAUUUACCAAAAUAACUAUUAUUAACAUGUAACUAUUAUUAGGUAUGUAACAGAGGAAAAGCUUGGAAUCUCUGCCUGCAUGCUGUAUUUGUCUUCUUUUUUGCUUUAAUCUUUAUGCCAAAAAAAAGGAAAAGGGCUUCUACUUUUGCUUGACAAUCAUCAAGAGGAAUUUUGCUUAGUUAGGUUUCUGCAAAUAGCUCCCUACCUGAAGCUCGCCUCUCCAUAGGGGAUAGAGAAAUCUGUAUGUUUUUAAAAUGAUUGCCCUGCCAAAAAUUUACAGGAACACGGUGACCAGACCUAGGCCAGCAGUCAAUCGGGCAAGGACACAGAGUCUCGCAGCCCCCACCCACCCUCGCAGGUGCCCAGAGGCCUGCCGCUUUCAGUGUCCUCCUCAUCUGAAGCCCCCCAUCCCUAGCAUAAGAGAAGCUGGAAAUCAACCCUGAGUUAAAAUGGUUCUUUAGGACAUGAGCCCCCUUCUCAAGUCUCCUGGCCUUCUGAAUAAAGUCAUUUUCCUUGCCCCAACACCUUGUCUCUACUUACUGGCCUCUCAUGAGGCGAGUGGCAUUAGCUUGGUCUCAGUAGCAGGUAUAUGCUUCUAUUGAGGCUAAAUACAUGUAUUUCUGUUAGACUACAAUAUAUGUGUUCCUGGAAAACCUGUGUUCUGCAGAAAAUGCACAAUAAAAUUACAGGCUUGUUGGGAAAAUAGGGUUGGGGCAGAUCGCUCAAUACAUGUGCAGUUUUGACCCUAGAAUGCUAGCCAGGAUAACAUUUGGUGCCUUUGGACAUCCAGGGCAGGCACUGGGGCUGGAGGCUGCCUCAGGGGUUACGAAAAAUGCACAGAAACCAUCGUGGAAACGUUGAGAUUAAGGCCCAGCAAAGGAAACUGAGCUCUGACCCAGUUAAGGCAUGCCCGGAAGGUGGCCCCACAUGCUGUUACCUGAGUGCUGAGCCAAACCCAAGACCUGGGGAUGGAGAUUUGCAAACUUGCACAUUUACACUAACAUAGAUCCCCUAUUUAGCAAUCACAAAACAGCUACUGAUGUCAUAGAAAGAAUAACUAGAUAAUUUAUCUUUGUCCUAAAAAAAUUUUUUAAUGACCAUGAUUUGGAAAGCACUGCUUGAAAUUUAAAUUUUUAGCAUCAUUAAUAAUAACGUCAUUAACUGCCCCAUGCAGAAGAGAUUUG